GCCUGGUGUUGGUUCUCCCAGAGGGAGGAUGUAGCUGGCUCUGUGUUGUAACCCUGUUUUGCAAUCACUACAAACAUCAGUUGGCUUCUAAACCAUCUACACAUAAAGCUGAUUGUUCCAGCUUCGCACACACACUUCAGGAGAUUGCCCUCCUCUCACAGAGCGCUACAUUAUUAACCCAGCAGGGAGAAAGUCUGUACAAAGGAGAAGAAAACAGUUGUACUAACAGACGGACUUUAAUGUUGACAGCAGGUGCUGUCAUGUGAAAAAUGAAAAUGAAGCCAAACCAGUGCUGACUUGUUCACCCAAUUGUUAGAGAAGGUCCUCUUAAAAUGAGUUACUUGGAAAUAAAGAGAGAGAAACCUAGCACUCUUUUGAAUCAGACUUUUGUGUUUUAAGUUCAUGUUGAUGAUAAAUACUUUGAUAUGAUGCUCUUUAUAACUAGUACACAAAAAAACCUUAUUUAACCGACAUAACGCAGAAAAAAUGAUGGCUUGUCGCCUGUUUUAACCUAAAGACAAACCCAAAUCUUCCACACUUAUGAUGGUUUGCAUGUGAUGUAACUUUAUUUGCAUAAAAGGAAGAUAACCCGCCACAAACAUUACAGUCCUGCAUCAAAUGUUUUAAGAAAUGGACCUAAUUGUUUCUAAAUGUUGUAAUAUUUCCCUCCUUUUGUUUAGUUCAGAUUUGUAAGAGAAGGGUUGCAUUUUUAAUGGAGGCAUCAAACUUGACAGUAACAAAAUGCAAGUAAGAGGCAAUAAAUAAAUCUCAGAGUCAGAGUUUCUGGUAACAAAUCCACCUGGUGCACACGUUUCCCUGAGGAGGAGAAACACAUGCAACACAACA